rnacentral:rRNA from 1 species
GGAGCUCUCCCAUAUGGUCGACCUGCAGGCGGCCGCGAAUUCACUAGUGAUUGUUUGAUCCUGGCUCAGAUUGAACGCUGGCGGCAGGCUUAACACAUGCAAGUCGAACGGUAACAGAGAAUAGCUUGCUAUUCUGCUGACGAGUGGCGGACGGGUGAGUAAUGCUUGGGAAUUUGCCGAAAGGUGGGGGACAACAGUUGGAAACGACUGCUAAUACCGCAUAAUGUCUACGGACCAAAGGUGGCCUCUAUUUAUAUGCUAUCGCCUUUCGAUGAGCCCAAGUGGGAUUAGCUAGUUGGUAAGGUAAUGGCUUACCAAGGCGACGAUCCCUAGCUGGUCUUAGAGGAUGACCAGCCACACUGGAACUGAGACACGGUCCAGACUCCUACGGGAGGCAGCAGUGGGGAAUAUUGCACAAUGGGGGAAACCCUGAUGCAGCCAUGCCGCGUGUGUGAAGAAGGCUUUCGGGUUGUAAAGCACUUUCAGCGAGGAGGAAAGGGUGAUGGCUAAUAUCCAUUAUCUGUGACGUUACUCGCAGAAGAAGCACCGGCUAACUCCGUGCCAGCAGCCGCGGUAAUACGGAGGGUGCAAGCGUUAAUCGGAAUUACUGGGCGUAAAGCGCGCGUAGGUGGUUAAUUAAGUCAGAUGUGAAAGCCCAGGGCUCAACCUUGGAACUGCAUUUGAAACUGGUUGACUAGAGUUUUGUAGAGGGUGGUAGAAUUUCAGGUGUAGCGGUGAAAUGCGUAGAGAUCUGAAGGAAUACCAGUGGCGAAGGCGGCCACCUGGACAAAGACUGACACUGAGGCGCGAAGGCGUGGGGAGCAAACGGGAUUAGAUACCCCGGUAGUCCACGCAGUAAACGAUGUCUAUUAGAAGUUUGUGGCUAUAUGCCGUGGGUUUCAAAGCUAACGCAUUAAAUAGACCGCCUGGGG